rnacentral:rRNA from 1 species
GUCUAUGGCCAUGCCACCCUGAAUGAGCCCAAUCUCGUUUGAUCUUAGAAGCUAAGCAGGGUCGGGCCUGGUUAGUACUUGAAUGGGAGGCUACCUAGAAAUACCAGGUACCGCAGGCG